rnacentral:rRNA from 1 species
UACAGAGGGUGCAAGCGUUGUUCGGAAUUAUUGGGCGUAAAGCGCGUGUAGGCGGCUUUGCAAGUCGGGUGUGAGAGCCCUCAGCUUAACUGAGGAAGUGCGCCCGAAACUGCAGAGCUUGAGUACCAGAGAGGAUGGUGGAAUUCCCGAAGUAGAGGUGAAAUUCGUAGAUAUCGGGAGGAACAUCAGUGGCGAAGGCGACCAUCUGGAUGGAUACUGACGCUGAGACGCGAAAGCGUGGGUAGCAAACAG